AACGAACGCUGGCGGCAGGCCUAACACAUGCAAGUCGAACGAGGAGCCACCUUCGGGUGGUGGAAAGUGGCAGACGGGUGAGUAACGCGUGGGAACGUGCCUUUCGGUUCGGGACAACCCAGGGAAACUUGGGCUAAUACCGGAUACGCCCUUCGGGGGAAAGAUUCAUUGCCGAAAGAUCGGCCCGCGUCGGAUUAGCUAGUUGGUAGGGUAACGGCCUACCAAGGCGACGAUCCGUAGCUGGUCUGAGAGGAUGACCAGCCACACUGGGACUGAGACACGGCCCAGACUCCUACGGGAGGCAGCAGUGGGGAGUAUUGGACAAUGGGCGCAAGCCUGAUCCAGCCAUGCCGCGUGGGUGAAGAAGGCCCUAGGGUUGUAAAUCCCUUUCAGCGGGGAAGAUAAUGACGGUACCCGCAGAAGAAGUCCCGGCUAACUCCGUGCCAGCCGCCGCCGUAACAC
rnacentral:rRNA from 1 species